rnacentral:tRNA from 1 species
CGGCCGGCUGAGGCGACGCGGCUCAGGCCGGCCAAGGACCGGUCUGACCGGGUCUGACCAGGUCAGAUCGGUUCGGAUCUGCUCCGGCGGGCC